CAUUUACGAAAAUGAUGUAAGCGACACUGCCGAAAUUUGUAUUUUUAUGCAAAUUAGUUCAUAAAUACCAACAGCAUCUGCACCCAUAAUAUUAAAUUUUAAUUGUAUGUAUAUUUUUACGGAAAUAUUGGCCUGUUAUUUAUAACGUAAGCGACACGCGACUUUGUUGGUGGCCGCAAAAAUAAAAUUAUCGCAAUGUCACUUGUGCCUUACAGUGAUAGUGAAAGCGAGACAGAUAUAGAUCCCGUUCCAAUUAAAGAAGAGAUUUACGUUGGAAAGCGGAGUUACAAAAAGCGAAAGGCAGACAACGGAACUCCAAAAAUUCAAAUUGCAAGAUCUGCCCAAAUGAAUCCCUGUUAUAAUAAGAAAUGCGGUAAUAAUUGUUCCAAGUUUAGUGAAGAAGAUCGGCAAGCCCUGAAUGAACACUUUUGGAGAAUGAGUAAAAGUCAACAAAAGACUUGGUUGGCCUAUUGUAUUGUGGAAAAGGACGUGAAGAGAAGGAGAGUGCAAAACAGUAGACGACAGUUAACUUACGAGUAUUUCAUAAAUUUUGGCGGAAAGAAUUUCAAAGUUUGCCAACAAUUUAUUUUAAAAACCUUAAGUAUUUCACAACGAAUGAUGAGGAGCAUUGUUCUGAAUUCGAGGACAACAAAUGCUAAAAAGCAAAAGAAAAUUGCGCAUAACAAAUCAGAUGAAGGAAAAGUAACGAUUUUGAAAAAUUAUAUCGAGGCAUUACCAGCUGUGCCAUCGCACUGCUCCCACAAUAAUAGCAAUCAAUUAUAUUUGCCCGAAGAAUUCGGCAACGUUUCGGCUUUAUAUAAAUGUUAUAUUCAAAAUUUAAAAGAUCGAGAACUAUUGGACUCUUCACUGUCUUUACAAGUAUUUCGCAAAAUUUUCAAAAACGAUUUCAACAUUGGAUUUCAUUCGCCAAAAAUGAACAGAUGCAAUCAAUGCGAUCAAGCUAAGGACACCGUUAUUGAUUUGGAAGAAUUUAGGGACCACAUAAUAGAUAAA